rnacentral:rRNA from 1 species
UUAAAAUAAUUAAUUUUUUUUAUUAUUUAUAAUUAUCACUUUUUUUUUUUUAGUAAAAUAAUGAAUAAAUUAUUUUUUAAAACUGAAUAGGUAUAUUUUUUUAAAUAAAAAGUAUUAAUAGUACCUUUUGUAUCAGGGUUAUUUAAUUAAAAUAUUUAUAUUCUUUUCCCGAAUUAAAAAGAUUUAAAUUUAUUUAAUUGUAUUUGUUUCAUAAAGUUUAUAAAAUUAAUUUUAGUAGUUAAAAGUUAUUCGUUUUUUAUUAUAUCUGGUUAAUCAGGAUUUAAUUUAAUUAUAGAUUAAUUUAAUUUUUAUAAUUAUUAUAUUUAUUUAAUCUUAUAUAAUACUGGAUAAUCUGUAUUUUAUAUUAAAAUAUAAAUUUUAAAAAGUUUAUUUUUUUUAAAAUCUUAGCUUUAGUUCUUAAUAGAUUAACUUUUUUUGUAUAAAAUUUAUUUUUAUUUAAUUUUUUACUGAUUUAUUUUAAUUAAUAAAUAAUUAUUUUAAAUAAUGAUUAAAUUAGUAAAAUUUUAUUUUUUAAAAAAUGAACUCGACAAAUAAUAUUUCCAACUGUUUAUCAAAAACAUUUCUUUUAGAAUUUAUUAAAGGUAAUUUCUGCCCUAUGAUUAAAUUUAAAUGGCUGCAGUAUUUUGACUGUACAAAGGUAGCAUAAUAAUUAGUCUUUUAAUUGAGGACUUGUAUGAAUGAAAAUAUGAGAUAAAAUUUUUAUUUUUAAUAUAAUUUGAAUUUAAUUUUUAAGUUAAAAAGCUUAAUUUUUUUAUAGGGACGAUAAGACCCUAUAGAACUUUAUUAAAAAAAAAGAAACUUUGGGUUUAAAACUUAAAUUAAUUUAAUUGGGGUGAUUAAUAAAUUUAUUUUACUUUAUUUAAAAAUUUCAUUCAUAAAUGUAUUUUUGUUCCAUUUUUUAUGAUUAUAAGUUUAAGUUACCUUAGGGAUAACAGCGUAAUUUUAAUGGGGAGUUCAUAUCUAUAUUAAAGUUUGCGACCUCGAUGUUGAAUUAAGAGAAAAUUAAGGGGUAGAUUCUUUAAGUUUAAGUCUGUUCGACUUUUAAAUUCUUACAUGAUUUGAGUUCAAACCGGUGUAAGCCAGGUUGGUUUCUAUCUUAUAAACUAAAUUUAUAUUAGUACGAAAGGACCAUAUAAUUCAAUAUUAAAAUUGUAAAUUA